ensembl:lncRNA
GACUUUUUAACAGAAAUUUUAUUGGAAGAAUUUUGAUAACAAUCAUUUAUUAUUAUUUUUAAAUAUAUCUGAGGUUAAACAAAAUACAUGAAUGUCUUCAAGUAGAAAAAAGUGAAAUACACAUUUGGAAUUUGUUGUUCUUAGGCAAAUCAAAAUUGCUCACUCUAGUAUAUUCAAACCAAAUUACAAUAUAGUCUUUGACAUUCCAACCUAGCCUUGUGCUCAAAUGUUUAUUUAGAAAUGUUUUGAUGAUGUACUCUUCACCAAAGGAAUCAAACCCAAAUCAAACUUGGCCAUAUGUUUAAACCAUUAAAGACAGGGAGGUAAAGUGUUGUAGGGGUAUUUAAAAUAUACCAAGAAGGGAUUUGGCAGCUUUUCAUUCACAGUAUUUCUGAUAUAGAAGACUCAUUCUGUUUGUUGAUCAGACUCACAAAUGUUGGGGCAAAAUAUCACUUGGGCAGAUAUAUCACUAAAUUUGUUGCUGUUAGAGGAAGCGAUGAGACUACACAACAAGCUCUUGACAGGAUAUGUUUAGUUCAAAACAGAAUACUGAGUCUAACUGACAUAUGAUACAUAAAAUUCAUAUACAUUCAAAACAAAGAUUUUUAAGAGAAGUUUUACAUUGGCAGCAGUAAUGAAAAGAGACAAAAUAAGAAACAGAAGCUCUACCAAAAUUUAGUAUUUAGAGGGGCAAAAGAAGAUAUAAACUACCGUAGGAAUAUUUAAAUCAGUUCAUGAAUACAUGUAGUGUUGCUUUUAUAGAAGCACUUUGAAGAUAGACAUUUGAAAGAGUUUUGGAUGAAAAUGCAUCUGGGAUAAAUGAAAUAGAAUGUUAUACACAGGCCCUUAAAGUGUUGGAUAAUAGGAAUAUGGCAAUUUCCUAUAAAAAGAGAGACUGUGGUUUCUCAUUCAAAAUACACAAAAUACAAACUCAGGUGAUCCAGGCUCCACUGUCCCAGUUCUACCAAAUUGCUGUCCUAACACAGCUUGCAAAAUGGAAAACAUCUCUGUAUUCCCACUGUUCCUGUAUUAAAAUGAAGGAGUAGCUUACAGGGUGACUUUAAAAAAAAAAAAAAAAAGGCCAUAGUGAAUAUAAAGUCACUUAUCAGUGCAAAAAUGCCAAAGAAAAGUUAAGAUGUCUUCUGUAAUAAACAGUAAAUUACUGGUUUUACCUUACUUGUGUAUCCACUGCUGCCUACAAUAGUUACUCACUGGUUAACCAAACAUUUAACUGAACAUGUAAGUGUAAAUUCAUACUAAAUUUGGUGAUAAUAGGAUGUAUGAGACAAAGACAUUCUUUUUUUUUACAGACUUUCCACCAUGAUCAAAGUUACAAAUAUUAAAAUUUUCAAAGCCAUGGGAAGAGUUCACAGUUAAAUAUUAAGUUUAAGCAUAGAUUAAUACUAAUUAUGAAAUAUAUUUCUUCCUUUUGAAGAGCUAUA